UACGUAGGGGGCUAGCGUUGUCCGGAAUCAUUGGGCGUAAAGAGCGUGUAGGCGGUCCGGUAAGUCCGCUGUGAAAGUCGGGGGCUCAACCCUCGAAUGCCGGUGGAUACUGUCGGGCUAGAGUGCGGAAGAGGCGAGUGGAAUUCCUGGUGUAGCGGUGAAAUGCGCAGAUAUCAGGAGGAACACCUAUUGCGAAGGCAGCUCGCUGGGACGUAACUGACGCCGUAGACGCGAAAGCGUGGG
rnacentral:rRNA from 1 species